rnacentral:rRNA from 1 species
AUUAAGUUAAAUUAUUAAUUUUAAAUUUAUUUAGUAAAUUUUAAAUAAAAAAGUGUUUAAAUUAAUUAUAGGAAUAGAAAAAUUAAUUUUUAUUAUAGUUUAAUAGUAUUGUGAAAGAAUUUUUUUUAUAAGAUAAAAAGAAAGUUAAGUGUUGUACCUUGUGUAUCAGGGUUUAUUAAAUAAAUUUAAAAUUAAUAAUUCUCGAAUUUAAAAGAGCUAAUAUAAUAAUAAUUUUAUUGUUAAAUAAAUAUUUAUAAUAUUAUAUUAGAAAUGAAACGUUAUUCGUUUUUAAAUAUAUCUAGUUAUUUAAGAAAAAAAUUUAAUUUUAUUUAUUUAGAAUUAUAUUAGGUUAAGUGAAAAAUUUAAUAUAUAAAUAAGUAAAUUUUUUAGGGGAUAAGCUUUAAAAAAAAAUAUUAAAAUAAAAAUAAAUUUUAAAAAUUUAUAGGAUUAGAAUUGUCUAUUUUUAAAAUUAUGUUAUAAUUAAUUUUUAUUUAUAAAAAUUUAUAUAUUAUUUUAAGUUGUUUAUUAAAUUUUUUAGUAUAAUUAGUAAAUUGAAGUAAUAAUGAUAAAAUUAGUAAUUAGAGGUGUGUAUAAGUUAAAUUUAAGGUUAUAUAAAGGAAUUCGGCAAAUUUUUUUUCACCUGUUUAUUAAAAACAUGUCCUUUUGAAAUUAAUUUAAGGUCGGAUCUGCCCACUGAGGAGUUAAAUGGCCGCGGUAUUUUGACCGUGCUAAGGUAGCAUAAUCAUUAGUUUUUUAAUUGAAAGCUGGAAUGAAUGAUUUGAUGAAAAAAAGACUGUCUCUGUAUAAUUAAGAGUGAAUUUUAUUUUUAAGUAAAAAAGCUUAAAUGUGUUUAAAAGACGAGAAGACCCUGUAGAGUUUUAUAUAUUUAAUAUUUUAAAGUUUUAGAAUUUUAAAUUUAAAUUAUUUAUUAUAUUUGGUUGGGGCGAUUGUAAAAUUAAAAAAACUUUUACUUAAAAUUAUUAACAUUAAUUUAUGAAUUUAUGAUCCAUAGUUAUUAUGAUUAAAAGAAAAAAUUACCUCAGGGAUAACAGCGUAAUUUUUUUUUAGAGUUCAAAUUAAAAAAAAAGAUUGCGACCUCGAUGUUGGAUUAAAAUUUAUUUUUGGUGUAGAAGCUGAAAUAUUAGGUCUGUUCGACCUUUAAAAUUUUACAUGAUCUGAGUUUAAACCGGCGUGAGCCAGGUUGGUUUCUAUCUUUAAAAAUUUUUUAUAUUUUAGUACGAAAGGACCAAGUAUAAAUUUUUAAAAUUAAAAUAUUGAAUAAAAAUGUUAU